ACAGGGAUUGCCUCAGUAACGGCGAGUGAAGCGGCAAGAGCUCAAAUUUGAAAGCUGGCCCCCUCGGGGUCCGCAUUGUAAUUUGCAGAGGAUGCUUCGGGAGUGGCCCCCAUCUAAGUGCUCUGGAACGGGCCGUCAUAGAGGGUGAGAAUCCCGUAUGGGAUGGGGUGUCCGCGACCAUGUGAAGCUCCUUCGACGAGUCGAGUUGUUUGGGAAUGCAGCUCUAAAUGGGUGGUAAAUUUCAUCUAAAGCUAAAUAUUGGCCGGAGACCGAUAGCGCACAAGUAGAGUGAUCGAAAGAUGAAAAGCACUUUGAAAAGAGAGUUAAAAAGCACGUGAAAUUGUUGAAAGGGAAGCGCUUGCGACCAGACUCGCCUACGGGGUUCAGCCGGUAUUCGUACCGGUGUACUUCCCCGUGGGCGGGCCAGCGUCGGUUUGGGCGGCCGGUCAAAGGCCCUCGGAAUGUAACGCCUCUCGGGGCGUCUUAUAGCCGAGGGUGCCAUGCGGCCAGCCCGGACCGAGGAACGCGCUUCGGCACGGACGCUGGCAUAAUGGUCGUAAGCGACCCGUCUUGAAACACGGACCAAGGAGUCUAACAUCUACGCGAGUGUUCGGGUGUCAAACCCGUGCGCGCAGUGAAAGCGAACGGAGGUGGGAACCCUCACGGGUGCACCAUCGACCGAUCCUGAAGUCUUCGGAUGGACUUGAGUAAGAGCGUAGCUGUUGGGACCCGAAAGAUGGUGAACUAUGCCUGAAUAGGGCGAAGCCAGAGGAAACUCUGGUGGAGGCUCGCAGCGGUUCUGACGUGC
rnacentral:rRNA from 1 species